rnacentral:misc_RNA from 1 species
AACGCAUAUUGCGCCCGCGUCUUCGGACAAGGGCAUGUCUGCCUCAGCGUCGGGUUAAUACUCGCAACACACAUCCCUGUGGUGUGUGCUAAUUGCGGACCUGGCCGUCCCGGUUGAUUCAAUUCGACCGGGUCGGCUGAAGUGGAGAGGUUGACGCAUGGACCCGCUUAUGGGCCUCAGCUUGGUAGGCAAUUCGUUGCUAAAUGCUUUGCUGGUGGCUUGUGGACUGUGCAAUGUCGGCCCUAAUCCAGGAAUCUCCAGCAAUGGAGACAACCCUCAUUUUCUCGACCUGAGCUCAGGCAAGAUUACCCGCUGAACUUAA